UCAAAUUUGUAGUUUCUUAUGUCUCAUUCCAUCGAACUACAGAUCCGCUACCCGAUCUUGCAAACUUACAUAGUGUUGUUAUAGCCGAUUGAGGGCCGUGAAGCGAAUGCAGAAGUGCCGUUCACCCUGUUACAAGUUGAUGAAGCACUGAAACGAUUUUGGAAACAUUAUUUUAAGGCCUGAUCUCAGAAAAAAACCUUGUCUCCCAGGGAAAGCAAGGUGCUGGUCCUUGCAGUUAUCUUGGUUGCCACGGCGGAGACAAAAGCAAGCUUUCUUAUGACUUCUUUAUCCUGGCGCGUGUUACUGAAGCAGGUCAUGUUCCUCAGACUACUCAAUGCAACGAAGAAAUGAGGACAGCCAUGCUUACAGACACAGGUACAAGAGACUAGACACCUCUGCCAAGUUAUGCUGGAUGAAGACACAUGAUUAGGAAGGCUCAAUACCAUCAGGUGAAGGAAGGGAAAUGUGUAUUCAGGGAAAACUAUAUCAUUAAACUGGAGAACAGAAUGUCCAUAGAAUUUUGUACUAUGUUAAAGCCGAUGUUUGGCUACAAUACAUCUGAUCAAUCUGAAAAUCUGAACACUAAACUGUACAUUAAGGCAAUGCAUACAAUCUGAUUAAAACAAUUUGAUAGCAGGGUAUAAA